CAAGGAAUUGACGGGGCCCGCGACAAGCGGUGGAGCACGUGGUUUAAUUCGAUGAUACGCGAGGAACCUUACCUGGGCUCAAAUGUAUGUUGACGUAUUCUGAAAGGGAUACUUCUUCGGACAAUAUACAAGGUGCUGCAUGGUUGUCGUCAGCUCGUGCCGUGAGGUGUCGGGUUAAGUCCCAUAACGAGCGCAACCCCUAUCAUUAGUUGCCAUCAGGUCAAGCUGGGGACUCUAAUGAAACUGCCUACGCAAGUAGUGAGGAAGGUGGGGAUGACGUCAAAUCAGCACGGCCCUUACGUCCAGGGCUACACACGUGCUACAAUGGCCGAUACAAAGGGCAGCGACACUGCGAGGUGAAGCCAAUCCCGUAAAAUCGGUCUCAGUCCGGAUUGGAGUCUGCAACUCGACUCCAUGAAGUUGGAAUCGCUAGUAAUCGUGGAUCAGCAUGCCACGGUGAAUACGUUCCCGGGCCUU
rnacentral:rRNA from 1 species